rnacentral:rRNA from 1 species
UCUCAGUUCGGAUCGGAGUCUGCAACCCGACUCCGUGAAGCUGGAUUCGCUAGUAAUCGCGCAUCAGCCAUGGCGCGGUGAGUACGUUCCCGGGCCUUGUACACACCGCCCGUCAAGCCAUGGGAGCCGGGGGUGCUUGAAGUGCGUCGCCGCAAGGCGCGCCCUAGAGCAAAACCGGUGACUGGGGCUAAGUCGUAACAAGGUAUC